CAGUAGCCGCGGGAAUACGUAGGUGGCAAGCGUUGUCCGGAAUUAUUGGGCGUAAAGGGCUCGCAGGCGGUUUCUUAAGUCUGGUGUGAAAGCCCCCGGCUCAACCGGGGAGGGUCAUUGGAAACUGGGAAACUUGAGUGCAGAAGAGGAGAGUGGAAUUCCACGUGUAGCGGUGAAAUGCGUAGAGAUGUGGAGGAACACCAGUGGCGAAGGCGACUCUCUGGUCUGUAACUGACGCUGAGGAGCGAAAGCGUGGGGAGCGAACAGGAUUAGAUACCCCCGUAGUCCCUGUCUCUUAUAC
rnacentral:rRNA from 1 species